GCCAGUUGCUACCAGGUAAUGCUGGGCACUCUGGUGAGACUGCCCCGGUUAACGGGGAGGAAGGCGGGGACGACGGUCAAGUCAUCAUGGCCCUUACGCCUAGGGCUACACACGUACUACAAUGGCGCAUACAAAGGGCAGCGAUACCGCGAGGUGGAGCCAAUCCCAAAAAGUGCGUCCCAGUCCGGAUUGCAGUCUGCAACUCGACUGCAUGAAGUUGGAAUCGCUAGUAAUUCGAGAUCAGCAUGCUCGGGUGAAUGCGUUCCCGGGCCUU
rnacentral:rRNA from 1 species